rnacentral:SRP_RNA from 22 species
GGUGGGCUAGGCCGGGGGGUUCGGCGUCCCCUGUAACCCGAAACCGCCGAUACGCGGGGGCCGAAGCCGAGGGGAGGCCUGUCAAGCGGGCGGCAGCGGUUCCAGGCACCGCAGAGUCCUCGUCCCGGAGGGCCGGCGGUUAUGGCCGGGCUGCCCGGAGGGGCUGUCCGCCAUAUUAGCCGGGGGGAACGGCCCAGGCCCGGAAGGGAGCAGGCUAACCCCGGACGACCGGCGCUUCCGGGGGUGCGGGGAGGAGGUGCCUGGGGCUUCAAGCCGCCCGUAAGGCAGGUCGACCCGAGGCGUGCCCACC